rfam:Triticum aestivum genome assembly, contig: Triticum_aestivum_CS42_TGACv1_scaffold_019912_1AS
GUACUACUCCUUCCGUUCCGAAUUACUUGUCUUGGAUUUGUCUAGAUACGGAUGUAUCUAAGUCUAGAUACAUCCGUAUCUAGACAAAUCCAAGACAAGUAAUUCGGAACGGAGGGAGUACUUA